GUGUGAGUUGCCCCAGGUCAGGUCCUCUUUUAGGAUAACACCCAGGAACUUAAAACUGGCCACUUGCUCCACUUGGUCUCUCUUGAUAAGCAAGGAUGAUGUCUGAUCUAUUCCUUCUAUAGUCCACUGUAAGCUCCUUGGUCUUAUUGGUGUUAAGGACUGAGGUUUUUCUUGAGUGCCACUGGAAAGAUUUGUAAUUUUGUAAUUUUAAUAGAUUUGUAUGCCGCCCAAUCCCGGAGGACUCCGGGAGGCUUACAUAAAAGCAAUUAAAAUAUUAAAAAGAUUAAAAACACCAAAACAAUACAGUUUAAAACAGGAAAACACAGCAUGCACUCAAUUAUAAUGGGGCUGAAGUUCAGUCAAGCUCAACAGCCCCAGGCCUGCCGAAACAGCCAGGUCUUAACAGACUUACGAAGGCCAGGAGAGUGGGGAGUGUCCGGAUCUCAGGUGGUAGCUCGUUCCAAAGGGCCAGGGCAGCAACAGAGAAGGCUCUCCCCUGGGAAGCCACCGGAUGGCAUUGUGUGGCUGACGGUACCCGGAGAAGGUGGAGACAGUACACGCCCUGUGCGAUCUUAUUGGACGCUGGGAGGUAUGUUGCAGGAGGUGGUCACGGAGAUAUCCAGAUGCAUUCCAAAGGGUUAAUAAAGGUAAUUUAACAAUGCCUUAAGUCAGGGGUGUCAAACUCGUGGCAUCACGGUGGCGUCACAUGACGUAUCGGGACUUUUUCCCCCUGCGCUAAACCGGGCGGGGCCAGCACAUGACACAUCCGGGCUGCGAGUUUGACAGCUGUGCCUUAAGUGAAAUUUAGGAGUUUAGGACACUAAAGAACAUGCCCAACUGGAAAAGUAAUUGCUGCUUGAGGUUUUAUUGUCGCCAUCUAAAGUUGUAGUCUAAUUCACGAUAGUUGUCUGUUAAGCUGAAAUAUAGCUAACAGGGUAGAUCUUAACAAUGAUUGACUACAAAUUUAAAGAAAGGAAAUCUAAGUCCCUAUUGAAACUCAAUGAAUCCAUUACCGGUAGCUGAGAAAUUUUUAGAAGAAAUUAGAAUAGAACAGUGUUUCCCAACCUUGACAACUUUUAAGAUAGGUGGACUUCAACUCCCAGAAUUGUUGUCUGGGGAAUUCUGUAAGUUGGAAGUCCACAUAUAUUAGUUACUACGGUUGAGAAAUACAAAUGGAAUAAAGAAAAAUGGGGAAGGCUGGUAGACCAAUGCCAUUUUAUUAUUAUUUUGGUCUUUUAAUGGUUCUACCCAGAUGUAAAUAUAUGUUAAAAUGAUUAUUUAAGAAUGAGUCCUGACUUAUAUGUGACAAUGAACAACUUUUCACUGCAACUAUGAAUGAGAUAAAAGUUUGAUUUUUCUUAACUGUUGUUGUUCAGAAUGAAGGUCUGUUUUGUUUUUUGUUUUUUAAAAGGAAGAAUGUAAUAUAGUGGCUGCUUAUUCAUAUUGUGCAAUAUUCAAUCAAUGCUGUGGAAUUAAUCCUAGUGCCUAAUAAAAUGUAGGUUGGAAGAGG